AAAUGAAUAUUUUCUUGAAGAAAAUUUAUGAAAGGCAUUAGAAAACUCAAGACCCGACGUCACGCUUCACCUUUAACAUUUGUUCGGCAAAGUACAUUUUAAAUCAUUAUUUUGGGAGGUGGAUUUACGCUUUUUUCAACCAGUCUCAUGCUGUGUUAAUUCCAUAUGAGCAUGCGUUAACCAUAAAUUUAGUUCAAACUACCGCAACUUUACGCACGCAUACGUACAAAUACUCACACAUACGCAUCAAAUCAAAAAGGAGAUUAGUGUUAUUAAUAUUAAGAUUAAUUAAAGAACUGAGGGCAUUCCGAAUUGAAAAAACCAAAUAAAGAACAAAAGAUUUAAACGAAAUAGUGGAGUAAGGACAUUGUGAAAACUUCGUG